rnacentral:rRNA from 1 species
UCAAGCGAACAAGUGCAUGUGGUGGAUGCCUUGGCGAUCACAGGCGAUGAAGGACGCGGUAGCCUGCGAAAAGCCCCGGGGAGCUGGCAAACAAGCUUUGAUCCGGGGAUGUCCGAAUGGGGAAACCCACUCCUUAUGGAGUAUCCAUAGCUGAAUACAUAGGCUAUGUGAAGCGAACGCGGUGAACUGAAACAUCUAAGUAACCGCAGGAAAAGAAAUCAACCGAGAUUCCCAAAGUAGUGGCGAGCGAAAUGGGAUGAGCCUUGUACUCUUUAUUUGUAUUGUUAGCCGAACGCUCUGGAAAGUGCGGCCAUAGCAGGUGAUAGCCCUGUAGGCGAAAACAGUAUGAAAGAACUAGGUGUACGACAAGUAGGGCGGGACACGUGAAAUCCUGUCUGAAGAUGGGGGGACCAUCCUCCAAGGCUAAAUACUCGUGAUCGACCGAUAGUGAACCAGUACCGUGAGGGAAAGGCGAAAAGAACCCCGGGAGGGGAGUGAAAUAGAUCCUGAAACCGCAUGCAUACAAACAGUCGGAGCCUCGUAAGGGGUGACGGCGUACCUUUUGUAUAAUGGGUCAGCGACUUACGUUCAGUAGCAAGCUUAACCGUAUAGGGCAGGCGUAGCGAAAGCGAGUCCGAAUAGGGCGUUCAGUUGCUGGGCGUAGACCCGAAACCAGGUGAUCUAUCCAUGGCCAGGAUGAAGGUGCGGUAACACGUACUGGAGGUCCGAACCCACUAACGUUGAAAAGUUAGGGGAUGAGCUGUGGAUAGGGGUGAAAGGCUAAACAAACCUGGAAAUAGCUGGUUCUCUCCGAAAACUAUUUAGGUAGUGCCUCGUGUCUCACCUUCGGGGGUAGAGCACUGUCAUGGUUGGGGGGUCUAUUGCAGAUUACCCCGCCAUAGCAAACUCCGAAUACCGAAGAGUGCAAUCACGGGAGACAGACAUCGGGUGCUAACGUCCGGUGUCAAGAGGGAAACAACCCAGACCGCCAGCUAAGGUCCCCAAAUAUGGCUAAGUGGGAAACGAAGUGGGAAGGCUAAAACAGUCAGGAGGUUGGCUUAGAAGCAGCCACCCUUUAAAGAAAGCGUAAUAGCUCACUGAUCGAGUCGUCCUGCGCGGAAGAUGUAACGGGGCUAAGCCAUAUACCGAAGCUGCGGAUGCGUGCUUGCACGCAUGGUAGGAGAGCGUUCCGUAAGCCUGCGAAGGUGCCUUGUAAAGGGUGCUGGAGGUAUCGGAAGUGCGAAUGCUGACAUGAGUAGCGAUAAAGGGGGUGAAAGGCCCCCUCGCCGUAAGCCCAAGGUUUCCUACGCAACGUUCAUCGGCGUAGGGUGAGUCGGCCCCUAAGGCGAGGCAGAAAUGCGUAGCUGAUGGGAAGCAGGUCAAUAUUCCUGCACCGUCGUUAGAUGCGAUGGGGGGACGGAUCGCGGAAGGUUGUCCGGGUGUUGGACGUCCCGGUCGCUGCAUUGGAGAAGGCGCUUAGGCAAAUCCGGGCGCAGGAUUCAAGGGUGUGGCGCGAGCGACUUCGGUCGCGAAGCAAUUGGAAGUGGUUCCAAGAAAAGCCUCUAAGCUUCAGUCUAACGAUGACCGUACCGCAAACCGACACAGGUGGGCGAGAUGAGUAUUCUAAGGCGCUUGAGAGAACUCGGGAGAAGGAACUCGGCAAAUUGGUACCGUAACUUCGGGAUAAGGUACGCCCUUGUAGCUUGACUGGCCUGCGCCAGGAGGGUGAAGGGGUUGCAAUAAACUGGUGGCUGCGACUGUUUAAUAAAAACACAGCACUCUGCAAACACGAAAGUGGACGUAUAGGGUGUGACGCCUGCCCGGUGCCGGAAGAUUAAAUGAUGGGGUGCAAGCUCUUGAUUGAAGUCCCGGUAAACGGCGGCCGUAACUAUAACGGUCCUAAGGUAGCGAAAUUCCUUGUCGGGUAAGUUCCGACCUGCACGAAUGGCGUAACGAUGGCCACACUGUCUCCUCCCGAGACUCAGCGAAGUUGAAGUGUUUGUGAUGAUGCAAUCUACCCGCGGCUAGACGGAAAGACCCCAUGAACCUUUACUGUAGCUUUGCAUUGGACUUUGAACCGAUCUGUGUAGGAUAGGUGGGAGGCUAUGAAACCGGAACGCUAGUUUCGGUGGAGCCGUCCUUGAAAUACCACCCUGGUUUGUUUGAGGUUCUAACCUUGGUCCGUGAUCCGGAUCGGGGACAGUGCAUGGUAGGCAGUUUGACUGGGGCGGUCUCCUCCCAAAGGGUAACGGAGGAGUACGAAGGUACGCUAGGUACGGUCGGAAAUCGUGCUGAUAGUGCAAUGGCAUAAGCGUGCUUAACUGCGAGACCGACAAGUCGAGCAGGUGCGAAAGCAGGUCAUAGUGAUCCGGUGGUUCUGUAUGGAAGGGCCAUCGCUCAACGGAUAAAAGGUACUCUGGGGAUAACAGGCUGAUACCGCCCAAGAGUUCAUAUCGACGGCGGUGUUUGGCACCUCGAUGUCGGCUCAUCUCAUCCUGGGGCUGUAGCCGGUCCCAAGGGUAUGGCUGUUCGCCAUUUAAAGAGGUACGUGAGCUGGGUUUAAAACGUCGUGAGACAGUUUGGUCCCUAUCUGCCGUGGGCGUUGGAUAUUUGAAGGGGGCUGCUCCUAGUACGAGAGGACCGGAGUGGACGAACCUCUGGUGUACCGGUUGUGACGCCAGUCGCAUCGCCGGGUAGCUAUGUUCGGAAGAGAUAACCGCUGAAAGCAUCUAAGCGGGAAACUCGCCUUAAGAUGAGAUAUCCCUGGAGGCUUGACCUCCUUGAAGGGUCGUUCGAGACCAGGACGUUGAUAGGUCGGGUGUGUAAGCGCAGUAAUGCGUUCAGCUAACCGAUACUAAUUGCCCGUAAGGCUUGAUC